UACGUAGGGACCAAGCGUUGUUCGGAUUUACUGGGCGUAAAGGGCGCGUAGGCGGCUUGACAAGUCACUUGUGAAAUCUCCGGGCUUAACUCGGAACGGCCAAGUGAAACUGUCGAGCUAGAGUGUAGAAGGGGCAAUCGGAAUUCUUGGUGUAGCGGUGAAAUGCGUAGAUAUCAAGAGGAACACCUGAGGUGAAGACGGGUUGCUGGUCUAACACUGACGCUGAGGCGCGAAAGCCAGGGGAGCAAACGGG
rnacentral:rRNA from 1 species